rnacentral:rRNA from 1 species
GAGUUUGAUCCUGGCUCAGGAUGAACGCUAGCGGCAGGCCUAAUACAUGCAAGUCGAACGGUAACAGGUCCUUCGGGAUGCUGACGAGUGGCGCACGGGUGCGUAACGCGUAUGCAACCUACCCAUUACAGGGGGAUAGCCCGGGGAAACUCGGAUUAAUACCCCAUAGUAUUAUUGAAUCGCAUGAGGAGAUAAUUAAAGAUUUAUCGGUAAUGGAUGGGCAUGCGUCUGAUUAGUUAGUUGGUAGUGUAACGGACUACCAAGACGAUGAUCAGUAGGGGGUCUGAGAGGAUGAUCCCCCACACUGGCACUGAGAUACGGGCCAGACUCCUACGGGAGGCAGCAGUAGGGAAUAUUGGUCAAUGGACGAGAGUCUGAACCAGCCAUGCCGCGUGCAGGAUGACGGCCUUCUGGGUUGUAAACUGCUUUUCUACAGGAAGAAAAAAGCCUUGCGAGGUUAAUUGCCGGUACUGUAGGAAUAAGCACCGGCUAACUCCGUGCCAGCAGCCGCGGUAAUACGGAGG